UACGGGGGGAGCAAGCGUUGUUCGGAUUUACUGGGCGUAAAGGGCGCGUAGGCGGCGCGACAAGUCACUUGUGAAAUCUCCGGGCUUAACCCGGAGCGGCCAAGUGAUACUGUAGUGCUAGAGUGCGGAAGGGGCUACUGGAAUUCUCGGUGUAGCGGUGAAAUGCGUAGAUAUCGAGAGGAACACCUGCGGCGAAGGCGGGUAGCUGGGCUGACACUGACGCUGAGGCGCGAAAGCCAGGGGAGCGAACGGG
rnacentral:rRNA from 1 species